UACGUAGGGGGCAAGCGUUGUCCGGAAUCACUGGGCGUAAAGCGCGCGCAGGCGGCUAUCUACGUCCGGGGUGAAAGCCCAGAGCUCAACUCUGGGACUGCCUUGGAUACGGGAUGGCUUGAGGAUCGAGAGGCAAGGGGAAUUCCACGUGUAGCGGUGAAAUGCGUAGAGAUGUGGAGGAACACCUGUGGCGAAGGCGCCU
rnacentral:rRNA from 1 species